UGUUUACAGAAGAAAAUGCCACUAAAAUGGAACCUGAUUCAACCCAGAGCAGGCAGGCAGCCUCUUCUCUUCCUGUGCACGAUAUUCUCCAGGAUAGCAGGGUUGUUGUACAUGAGACCACUGAAGUGAUGCAGCAAGCUAACCAGAGUGGUGAGGAUGAAGAUGAAGACGACAGUGAUAGUGAUGAUGAUGAUGACGUUAAGGUUACCAUUGGUAACAUCAAAACUGGAGCACCUUCCUACA